ACUCCAAUUGGAUUUCACAGUGCCUUCCCUCCAAACUCGCCGAAGCACCCCAAAAACGACGCCGCAUUCAUCCUUCUCCGAUAACGAAACACCCUAGCUCGGCCACACCUUUCCGAGAACCAAGGGGCAGAACCGGUCAUACAAUAAGAGAACCAGAGGAGGCAAAAUCACCAAGGUCGUCAGAGAGCACUAUCUCCCCGACGAUAUCUACUGCGGAGCUCCGGUAUGCCAAAAGUGCAACAACACCAAUGCUCGCCUGAGCGCCGCCGCUUCCACCGUCCUCGUCCUCGUCCUCGUCCUCGACACCAAUGUGGUGCUCAACCAGAUUGAUUUGAUUGAGAAUGCAGCCAUUAACGACGUGGUGGUGCUUUCGAUUGUGCUCGAGGAGGACAAGAACAGGAACUUGUCCGUUUACAAUAGACUUAGAGCUAUCUGUAGCAAUUCCUUGCGGAACUUCUAUGUUUUCUCUAAUGAGCAUCACAAAGUUAAAUAUUAAUUGGGCUGGGAUUCAGUGGAGAGGCGAUUGCGUCUCUCUGGGGUUUUGGAGACCCCUAUUUGCUGCGGAUUAGGAAGGGCGAAUGGAUUAACAUGCUCAAUUUUGUUUUUGCUUCCACGUUCUUGAGUAUGAGCAGUAUAAGGUCAGAAUUUUGGGAUUUUGUUUUCUGUUUUGAUUUUAGAUUACAUGCAUGUAUAUGAUUUCUGUAAAGCACAAGAACCCUAGAUGCAUGCCCGGAAUGCAACAUAGGUUAGUGUACUCCUGUGGUGUCCAGAUGAAACUUACCUUCAGUUGCAUGAUUUUGUGUUUUGGAUUGGAACGAUGCUUGUCUAAAAUUGAAUGAAGUUUCUAUGUGUUUGCAAUUGAUAUAAAGAUGUUGUAUGAUUCAUGCUUAUCCUCUGCACCUUAGAUUUUGAUUAAGAUAUACAUAUAUAUAUAUAGAGGUUUGAUUGCUUUGAUUGAUUAAGAUCGUGUGUUUUGAGAAUUGAGUUUUGAUCUUCAUAUUAGUUGUUUGCUGGGCUUAAGUUUAUCUCCCUGUUCAGUAUUGUGAAAUCCUUGUGAACACACUACAACAAAACUCAAAACACAAAACACUCUAAAUAUAGUCUUGAUCCAGUUUAAUUAUAAUCUUUUAACAAAUUGUAUUGUCAAUAGCAAUCUUUUUGAAAGGAAUUAAUGUUAAACAGAAGUAAUGGAUCAACAACUUGUAAUAUUGAAUCUAAUUGUCUGUGUCUUUGCUCCCUUAAGGAGGUUUAAACAUUCACAUCUCUUAGGUUCAGUAUUAGCAUAUAACAGAAAAUUAAAAUGCAUUCAGGGGUUGUUAGAGGUUGUUCUUCUUGCCACUCUAGGUGUUGACAUAAUCUAAUAAACCUAUAGUUGUUUUAAUAUUCUGGUUAUAUGAUUCAGCUUGUGUCGAUAUGUCCUUUUGCCACUCUAGGUAAGGCAGACACCUUAUGUUUUGGGGCACUUCAGUUUAAUGCCGUAUAUUUAUAAAGUUUUACUAAAUCUAGAACCUCUUUAUGUUUUACUACAGCCAUGAACCUCCCCUUAGGACUUCUUCAAAUAUAAAGCUUACAUGGGUCGAACUUUAAGCAAUGGAAGCAAGACAUAGAGCUGCAUCUAGGAAUGAUAGACUUUGACCAUGUCCUUAAUUAAGGAGGAUCCACUAGCAGAACCAACAACUACUACCGGCAAGGAUGUGAAAGAUAGGUACCAUCAGUGGCAUAAACACAACAGACUGACCUUAGCUAUUCUGAAGAAAUAUACGACAACUUCUGUGAGAGGUAGUAUACCUGAGUCUGAGUAUGCUAAGCAAUAUUUCAAAAAUAUAGAAGAAAGGUACAUAGUAUCAGAGAAGGCAGAGAUUGGAAACUUGAUGAAUACCCUCAUUACCAUGAAGUUUGAUGGAGUUGGAAGCGUUAGGGAAUUUAUAAUGAAGGGGAUUGAUAUCGCUGGAAAACUCAACGCCCUAAAUGUCAGUAUUGAAGAUACUUUUCUGGUGCAUUUGCUUUUGAAUUCUCUACCUCAGCAAUAUAGUCAGAUGCAGUCAAACUACAAUACACAGAAGGAGAGUUGGUCUGUGAAUGAACUGAUUUCAAUAUGUGUCCUAGAGGAGUAUAGAAUAAAGAAGGGAUAGAGCAUUGGAGUGAAUCUUGUCAGCAAGCCUCAAUUUAAGAAGAAA